GACGAACGCUGGCGGCGUGCUUAACACAUGCCAGUCGAACGGAAAGGCCCUGCUUUUGUGGGGUGCUCGAGUGGCGAACGGGUGAGUAACACGUGAGUAACCUGCCCUUGACUUUGGGAUAACUUCAGGAAACUGGGGCUAAUACCGGAUAGGAGCUCCUGCUGCAUGGUGGGGGUUGGAAAGUUUCGGCGGUUGGGGAUGGACUCGCGGCUUAUCAGCUUGUUGGUGGGGUAGUGGCUUACCAAGGCUUUGACGGGUAGCCGGCCUGAGAGGGUGACCGGCCACAUGGGGACUGAGGUACGGCCCAGACUGCUACGGGAGGCAGCAGUGGGGAGUAUGGCACAGUGGGCGGAAGCCUGAUGCAGCGACGCCGCGUGCGGGAUGACGGCCUUCGGGUUGUGAACCGCUUUCGCCUGUGACGAAGCGUGAGUGACGGUAAUGGGUAAAGAAGCACCGGCUAACUACGUG
rnacentral:rRNA from 1 species